CGGAGCGGGGCCACGAUGAGCACCAAGCAGGUGACCUGCAGGUACUACAUGCAAGGAGUGUGUCGGGAGGGAAGCAAGUGUCUGUUCUCGCAUGACUUAUCUACAAGCAAAUCCUCUACCAUCUGCAAGUACUACCAGAAGGGACAGUGUGCCUAUGGGGCUCGGUGCAGGUACGAUCACACCAGACUUCCUGCGCCAGGGGCUUCAGCGGCCCCUGCGCCCCCUCCCCGCUCCUCGGCCGUGCUGCACAGCCCUCGUCAGCCUCCUGAGCAGAGCGCACCCAUCAUCAGGAGCAAACUGCACGAGACUGGCAAGCGGGAGAAGAAAACACUCGUGCUCAGGGACAGAAAUCUGUGUGGCUUGAAUGAAGAAAAGCAGAAACCCAGUGCCACAAGCGAUGGGGUGUGUUGCAGUGACCAAAACGAUAAUCUGGAAAUGAAGCCCCAUUCGUAUUUGGAAGCUAUUUGCAGCGGACUGGAAGAUCCGGUAGCUGGAAGCUCCUGUGCGGAUGGAGAGCAGCUGUGCCCUUACGCUGCGGCAGGAGCGUGCCACUUCGGAGAACGCUGCCUGUACCUCCACGGGGACGUCUGUGAGAUAUGCGGGUUGCAAGUACUUCACCCUUUCGACCAAGAACAGAGGAAGGCUCACGAGAUGAUGUGCAUGGCGACAUUUGAGCAUGACAUGGAGAAGGCCUUUGCCUUUCAGGCAAGUCAGGACAAAGUGUGCAGUAUCUGCAUGGAAGUGGUGUACGAGAAACCAUCGGCCUCCGAGAGGAGGUUUGGGAUCCUUUCCAACUGCAAUCACACGUACUGCUUGUCUUGCAUCCGGCAGUGGAGAUGUGCCAAGCAGUUCGAGAAUCCCAUCAUAAAGUCCUGCCCCGAGUGCCGUGUGAUAUCCGAGUUUGUCAUUCCCAGCGCCUACUGGGUAGAAGACCAGGAGAAGAAGAACGAGCUGAUUGAAGCGUUUAAGCAGGGAGUGGGGAAAAAGCCCUGCAAGUACUUCGAACAAGGGAAAGGAACUUGCCCGUUUGGAGGGAAGUGUCUUUACCUUCAUGCUUAUCCAGAUGGGACACGAGCUGAACCUGAAAAACCACGGAAACAGCUCAGCUCUGAGGGGACUGUGCGGUUCUUCAACUCUGUUCGGCUGUGGGACUUCAUUGAGGACAGAGAAAGUCGGACUGUGACCAGCACAGAGGACGAAGUAACAGAACUGGGAGACCUUUUCAUGCACCUUUCUGGGGCUGAUGAGGAUUCUGCUACUUCUCAAUAAAGAGAACCAAAGGUGCCGCCGUCUCUGGCGAGCGAGAUGAUGAUUUAGCCACGCUUUUACUCUCUGCAGCACAGUCAGAGUGAAUGUGCCCUGUGGUUUACUUGUGCAGUCCUGAGAGAAGUAUUUUCAUGAGGGUGUUUGCCUGAAGAUGACAUAAACCAGGUAACAAUUGUCUGAAAUUAAAAAGAUAACUUGUUUUGCAAAGCUGCCUAGGGACAACAAAAAGAGAAGUUUUCAUGUCAGAGCAGUAAGACCUAGAAACUCAGGCCUUUUAAACUCUUCACUGAGCAGCUUUCAUCUACUUUGACAUCAAAUGCUGGUCAAAAUAAGUCUAUUUUCGAAAAUAUUUUAAUUUUUCAAGAGACACUGUUUUUAAAAUUAGGAGUUAAUUGUUUCUUUUUGGAAAUCAGAGCUAAAGUAAAAAGCAGCUUACCCUUUCUCCUCCCCCCCGCUCUUCUUAAACUCUUUCUUGUUAUAAUGAAGGUUUAACAUGAGAGAUAAAAUAGUUAAAAUACCAAGCAUAUUAUUAAAAAUAACACAGAACUACAUGCAACAGUUUCCUUCAACCCUCAAUUUACUUUUUAGCAAGCAAAUUUUAUGGUCAUGCUCAAUUAUCACCUGAAGAUUAAUAUUCUAGUUAUAUCAUAUUCUGAGGACAAACAGCCUAGAUACUAUUUUUUAAGUAUGUCCUGGCUUACGUACUGCAAGUUCCUCUCUUCCCUUUCAUAAGCGCUUUGCGGGUUCUUUGCUUGCUGCAAAUAAGAAGCCGAAAUGGCUAUUUGGACAUUAUAGGCAAUUAAGAGUUGUACAUAUAAGCUGUCAAAAUUCACAGCAAAAUUAUUUUGCCUAACAAAUUUUAGGCAGCGGUUUAAAUCAAGCUAACAAUGGUUACAGACGUCUUGUCUCUUCCCUCGCCAGACCUCAGCCCUGGAGUCCGAUGGGAGCCCCAUACUUUUUAUACACAGAGAGAGACACAAAAUCCCAAGCUUCCAGUCCAAGAAUGGAAACUUGGCCACCGCUCUUUCCCUAAUCAACGUAUUUAAACAGAAGGCUAUUUAAAAAACAAAUUCUUAGAUUAAACCACCUAAUUUUUGUCAUCUGUGGAGUUCAGCCAAGACAAACCACUCGCUUCUACCCAAGUAAACACCAGGUUCACAGAAGAUAAAAUGCAGAGCAAAGCCGGUGCAGUUCAAUAGCUUGGUAGUACCUCAGCGUAAUGUAGAUGCUGCUGAAAGAUUCCUACAGUAGAAUAAAAAGCAUAUUGUAAAGAAUGUGAUUGGAAACCUAAAGGUCAUCAUAUCAAGUGUGUUUUUACUUGAACUGCUAUUAUCUAUCCCAGUAACUUUUAAAAAUUAUUUGGAAUGUCAUUUUCUGAGGUUUUUCAAAUCUAGAUGUACAUGUCAGAACUACGGUUUACUACAUUAAAUGAUGACAUUGAAUCUUAAACCUAAAAUUUAAUUUAUUUUAUUAAAAUAAGAUAAUCAGAAGAACCUUGGCUUACAAUAAA